AUGGCCGGUCGAGCAGGAGCAGCAACGUCACCUCCUGCUUCGUCACCGCCGGGCAAGCAGUUCGCGGAAGUGGUGGUGGUGCGACACGGCGAGACGUCGUGGAACGCCACCCGCACCAUCCAGGUAUGUCCACUUACCUCCUCCACCUCCACCUCCACCAUCGAUCUUCUCCGGCUGACACAGCCAUUUCCCCAAAUCUCGUCUUCGCAGGGGCAGAUGGAUCCGGAGCUGAACGAGACCGGCAGACGACAGGCUCUCGUGGUUGCCCGUCGGCUGUCGAGGGAAGCCAAGCCAGCUGCCGUGUACUCCUCCGACCUCAAGCGCGCCGCCGAGACCGCGCAAACCAUAGCCACAGCCUGCGGCGUAUCCUCUCUGGUGCUGGAUCCAGCGCUGAGGGAGAGGCACAUGGGAGAUCUCCACGGCUUGGUGUUUGACGACGCCGUCAGAAGGAAUCCUGAGAUCUUCUCUUCUUACUCGAGAACCCAAGAAAUCCCCGGUGGUGGGGAGAGCCUCGAUCAGUUAUCCAAGAGGUGUGUCUCGUACCUGAACACAGUAGCUGAGAAGCACAAGUGGGAGCGGGUGAUCGUGGUCACCCAUGGCGCCAGCACGGAGGAGCUGUGCAUACACGCCGACCCGACCAGCCCUGUGCGCGGGAAGCUCUACAACACUUCGAUCUGCGUCUUCCGUAUCGGCGGCGGCGAAUGGAUCCUCGAGAAGACCGGCGACGUCGGCCAUCUCGAUCAAGGUGAAUUCCUUGAGGACGCAUUUGGCGGCGAUGGCGUGUCUGCGUGA
rnacentral:rRNA from 1 species